GCCAGGCGUGGUGGCGCAUGUCUGUAAUCCCAGCUACUCGGGAGGCUGAGACAGGAGAACUGCUUGAACCCAGGAGUUGGAGGUUGCAGUGAGCCAAGCUCGUGCCACUGCACUCCAGCCUGGGCAACAGAGUGAGACUCUGUCUCAA
ensembl:misc_RNA Metazoa_SRP Metazoan signal recognition particle RNA